ACGGUGAGGGAAGAAGGCCAUGGGNGUAAACCUCUUUUUUCAGGGAGGAACAAAAUGAGUGUACCUGAAGAAUAAGCAUCGGCUAACUCCGUGCCAGCAGCCGCGGUAAGACGGAGGAUGCAAGUGUUAUCCGGAAUUACUGGGCGUAAAGCGUCUGUAGGUGGUUUAAUAAGUCAACUGUUAAAUCUUGAAGCUUAACUUCAAAACAGCAGUCGAAACUAUUAAACUAGAGUAUAGUAGAGGUAAAGGGAAUUUCCAGUGGAGCGGUGAAAUGCGUAGAUAUUGGAAAGAACACCGAUGGCGAAAGCACUUUACUGGGCUAUUACUAACACUCAGAGACGAAAGCUAGGGUAGCAAAUGGGAUUAGAUACCCCAGUAGUCCUAGCUGUAAACAAUGGAUACUAGAUGUUGAACAGAUCGACCUGUGCAGUAUUAAAGCUAACGCGAUA
rnacentral:rRNA from 1 species